rnacentral:tRNA from 1 species
UUCCUAAUAGCUCAGUUGGUAAAGAAUCUGCCUGCAAUGCAGGAGACCUGGGUUCGAUCCCUGGGUCGGGAA